AAGAAAAAAAGAGUCCAAGUAAUUUCAAUUAGUUCAAUUUAAUGUGUAUUUUUUUUCUUUGAAAAUUUUAAAAAGGUGAGUAAGAAGACCACUGGAAUUGUGUUUUCAACAUCAAUUCAUGACCUAAAGCAAAUAAAGCCAGAGAUUUAGGACAUCUCCAUCCAUGAAAAACCCACAAAGUUUCUCAAACAAAAAAA
rnacentral:sRNA from 1 species